CUAGCUACAGGCUUAACACAUGCAAGUCGAGGGGCAGCAUGAACUUAUCUUGCUAAGUUUGAUGGCGACCGGCGCACGGGUGAGUAACACGUAUCCAACCUGCCGAUGACUCGGGGAUAGCCUUUCGAAAGAAAGAUUAAUACCCGAUGGCAUAGUUCUUCCACAUGGUAGAACUAUUAAAGAAUUUCGGUCAUCGAUGGGGAUGCGUUCCAUUAGGUUGUUGGCGGGGUAACGGCCCACCAAGCCUUCGACGGAUAGGGGUUCUGAGAGGAAGGUCCCCCACAUUGGAACUGAGACACGGUCCAAACUCCUACGGGAGGCAGCAGUGAGGAAUAUUGGUCAAUGGACGAGAGUCUGAACCAGCCAAGUAGCGUGAAGGAUGACUGCCCUAUGGGUUGUAAACUUCUUUUAUACGGGAAUAAAGUGAGGCACGUGUGCCUUUUUGUAUGUACCGUAUGAAUAAGGAUCGGCUAACUCCGUGCCAGCAGCCGCGGUAAUACGGAGGAUCCGAGCGUUAUCCGGAUUUAUUGGGUUUAAAGGGAGCGUAGGCGGACGCUUAAGUCAGUUGUGAAAGUUUGCGGCUCAACCGUAAAAUUGCAGUUGAUACUGGGUGUCUUGAGUACAGUAGAGGCAGGCGGAAUUCGUGGUGUAGCGGUGAAAUGCUUAGAUAUCACGAAGAACUCCGAUUGCGAAGGCAGCCUGCUGGACUGUAACUGACGCUGAUGCUCGAAAGUGUGCGUAUAAAAGGAGGAUUAGAUACCCUGGUAGUCCACACAGAAACGAUGGAAUACUCGCUGUUUGCGAUAUACAGUAAGCGGCCAAGCGAAAGCGUUAAGUAUUCCACCUGGGGAGUACGCCGGCAACGGUGAAACUCAAAGGAAUUGACGGGGGCCCGCACAAGCGGAGGAACAUGUGGUUUAAUUCGAUGAUACGCGAGGAACCUUACCCGGGCUUGAAUUGCAACUGAAUGAUGUGGAGACAUGUCAGCCGCAAGGCAGUUGUGAAGGUGCUGCAUGGUUGUCGUCAGCUCGUGCCGUGAGGUGUCGGCUUAAGUGCCAUAACGAGCGCAACCCUUAUCGAUAGUUACCAUCAGGUGAUGCUGGGGACUCUGUCGAGACUGCCGUCGUAAGAUGUGAGGAAGGUGGGGAUGACGUCAAAUCAGCACGGCCCUUACGUCCGGGGCUACACACGUGUUACAAUGGGGGGUACAGAAGGUAGCUACACGGUGACGUGAUGCUAAUCCCUAAAGCCUCUCUCAGUUCGGAUUGGAGUCUGCAACCCGACUCCAUGAAGCUGGAUUCGCUAGUAAUCGCGCAUCAGCCACGGCGCGGUGAAUACGUUCCCGGGCCUUGCACAAAGCGCCCGUC
rnacentral:rRNA from 1 species